UCACGCAGUUGAAAAGGUCUUGUGGACUUGGUUUUGCUAAUUAGAAAAGGUAAUUUACGUUGCUUAGCUAAUGGGAAAACAUCACAAUGAGAAAGUAACGAACAAUCCUUUUGAUCAAUGAAAUUUAAAUAUGACAUAAUUGUGGUCAAAUAUGCCCAAAUCUCUUAUGCCAAAGUGAGGCAUCUUGCAAAGAACUUUCAUUAGAAAUUGAUUCAGUAUUGUUAUUACAUGAAACAUGAAAGGAACUUAGAGUACUAUUUUGGAGUAACAACUUUUUAUGAUAAGAUAUCAAUUAUGUGGUUAGACUACUGGAAUCUAAAAUGUAAAGUCUUCCAAUCACCUUUCUAACUACCAAGAUUUCUUCAUUCGGUAGGUCCUGCAGUAUGCAAUAUUUGGGAC
rnacentral:lncRNA from 1 species